UUUAUUUAAGGUACGAUGAGCCAAUGGUGAUGAAGAAAACGUCACAUGUUCGUCUCCUACGUCUUCUGCUUUUCCUGAUGUUUGUGAUUGGUCUUGUUGAAGCUAGUAUACCAGUCAUGAAAUAGGUGGCGGUAUGGGUCCAGAAAUAUAUACUCCCCUCCACCAUCAGGAUCAUGUGGAGCUCCUAUUGCCAAAUACGAUAUUUUCGUCCCAAGUAUUAACCAAGAGACCACCACCAUGUAGACGUCCUCGAGUCGGAAACCAAGAAGUCGUUGUGACACAUGCCACACGUCCUUCAAAUACAGGAACAAUAUAUACUCGAUAUAUAUGUAAUGUUGUUUAAAGAUUGUCAAAAUGAUACCUGGAGUGACUCCAAUCUCGGUACUGAUUCACUAGAUAUUGUUUAAAGCUUUGAAAUGUAUUUAGACCGACAAAAAAGGAAAAGAAAACUGUGUCGCAUUUAUUAGUUCUGAACUU